GGGAAAACCAGCCUGGCAACAUAGUGCGUAUUAAUAAAAGGACACCACAUCCUGCCAAAUUCCAGCUGCGCUAAUUGUAUUGUGUUCACAGAGCUCACAAGCUAUCAGAAAGUUGUAUGGCAACCACCUCCGGCGCCAAAUAGAACUGGCAGACAUAGACAUUCAGUACAAGAAGAAAAAGAUGGAAAAUCUUGCACUGGAGUCCGAAAUAAAAAGAGGACAAUUAGGAAACUGGACCUUGAAAUAAAAAACUUGAGAGGGAGCUCCAAGAAGAUGACACAGCUCAAAAUAAAAAUUAGCAAUCAGUACAACCAAGUCAUCGUUAUAAGGCAUCACCCUCUUUUGCCUACCCCCCCAGCACCAGGUGUGGCCACUAGCCUAUAUGAAGGCCCAAAAUUGUGUGUUCCUUUCUGCUCUGACAAUGGCAUGCCCAUUCGUGCGAGAUGUGGUGGAUGAAGAAGCACUUGUGCUGAGGAGAGCCUUCAGGCGAGAAAGGGUCUUCAGGGACCGGUUGUACCCACUGGCCUUCCCUGAUGACCAUCUAUAUGAAAGAUACAGGUUUUCUGCAGAUGGCAUCAGGUAUCUAUGCAGACUACUGGGUCCCAGGAUUAAGCACCGCACUGCACGGAGCCAUGCACUGAGUGUGGAGCAAAUGGUUUGUGUGGCCUUGCGCUUUUUUGCUAGUGGAGCCUUCCUGUACUCAGUGGGGGAUGCAGAACAGCUGAACAAGGCCACAAUUUGCCGCACAAUAAGGAGUGUGUGUCUGGCUAUCAAAGCAUUAGCAGAUGUCUUCAUCUCCUUCCCUGGCCACAGAAGACUCUGUGACAUCAAAGAGGAGUUCUAUAGGAUUGCAGAUGGUCUGCAAUGCUGACUGUGAUCAGCAAUGUUGUGGCAAAAUGGCCUGGCUCAGUCCAUGACUCCAAUCUAUCAGUGCCUAUCACAAGGUGAAUUCUCUGGUGUGUUGCUGGGAGACAGGGGGUAUGGCUGCCAGCCUUUUCUCCUGACACCUUUCACAGACCCCCAGGAAGCACAGCAGGCCUACAACCAUGCCCAUGCCAGGACCAGGGCCAGAGUUGAAAUGACCUUUGGCCUCCUGAAGGCACGCUUUCACUGCCUUCACAAAUUAAGGGUCAGCCCUGUUAGGGCAUGUGAUAUUACUGUGGCUUGUGCUGUCCUCCACAAUGUGGCCUGCCUGAGGAAGGAGAGGGCCCCCAGAGUGCCACCAGCCAUGGACUGGGACAAUCCGGCAAUCUUCCUGAUGACGACAGUGGUCGGCUGCUGAGGGACCAAUAUGUGUUGAAUUAUUUUAGUUAGUAUGUGUGCUUUCAAUUUUGGUUAAAUAUGUCCUGCGGUGGCAGAGGAAUUUGGGUUUUUUGGGUUCGUUUUUUGACGAAUUUGGCCUCUUAUGAUGUUUGUGCGGUAUACUGUGUGUAAUACAAGGCUGCAGGGAGGCUACUGCAUCCAUUCAUUUGUCUGUUCAGUUGAUGUGUAUGGAUUUGUCCUGCAUUUAUUUUAGUGUGCAGACAUGCAGGGUGUGUUAUAUACAGACCUUUGAAUGUGUAUGUAUCAUUUUGUAUAAUAUGCUUGGAUUCUGUGCUUUCCAUCUUGUAGAGUCACUGUGACUUCAGUUUCGAAAGGAGCUGAUGGCUUACCUGCAUUGUUUUGUCCUUAUUCAAUAAAGGAACAUAAUGUUACACAUUGUGUUUUUAUAUUCA